rnacentral:rRNA from 1 species
AGAGUUUGAUCCUGGCUCAGGACGAACGCUGGCGGCGUGCCUAACACAUGCAAGUCGUACGGGCUUGGGGGCAACUCCAAGUCAGUGGCGGACGGGUGCGUAACACGUGAGCAACUUGUCCUUCGGUGGGGGAUAGCCGGCCCAACGGCCGGGUAAUACCGCAUAACCCGCUCGGGUCGCAUGAUCUGAGCGGCAAAGCGGCCGCAAGGUCGCGCCGGAAGAGAGGCUCGCGACGUAUCAGCUAGUUGGCGGGGUAACGGCCCACCAAGGCUUCGACGCGUAGCUGGUCUGAGAGGAUGGCCAGCCACAUUGGGACUGAGAUACGGCCCAGACUCCUACGGGAGGCAGCAGUGGGGAAUAUUGCGCAAUGGCCGAAAGGCUGACGCAGCGACGCCGCGUGCGGGAUGAAGGCCUUCGGGUUGUAAACCGCUGUCGGAAGGGACGAAUACCUGGCUUCGAAUAGGGACCAGGGGUGACNGUACUUAAAGAGCCCGAUCC